GCGGACGUGGCGGAACCGGUAGACGCACGAGACUUAAAAAUCUUGCGGCCGCGAGGCCGUGCGGGUUCGAGUCCCGCCGUCCGCACCA
rnacentral:tRNA from 1 species